AUACGGAGGGUGCAAGCGUUACUCGGAAUCACUGGGCGUAAAGCGCGCGCAGGCGGCUAUUUAAGUUGGAUGUGAAAGCCUACGGCUCAACCGUAGAACUGCAUCCAAAACUAUUUAGCUAGAGUGUGGGAGAGGAAGAUGGAAUUAGUUGUGUAGGGGUAAAAUCCGUAGAGAUAACUAGGAAUACCAAAAGCGAAGGCAAUCUUCUGGGACACUACUGACGCUGAGGCGCGAAAGCGUGGGGAGCAAACGGGAUUAGAUACCCUAGUAGUCCC
rnacentral:rRNA from 1 species